rnacentral:rRNA from 1 species
UACAGAGGUCUCAAGCGUUGUUCGGAAUCACUGGGCGUAAAGGGUGCGUAGGCCGCACGGUAAGUCAGAGGUGAAAUCCCGGAGCUCAACUCCGGAUUGCCUCCGAUACUGCCGUGCUUGAGGACUGGAGAGGAGAUUGGAAUUCACGAGCGGAGCAGUGAAAUGCGUAGAUAUUGAUGAGGAACACUAGUGGCGAAGGCGAAUCUCUGGACGAGUUCCGUGACGCUGAGGCACGAAGGCCAGGGGAGCAAACGGG